rnacentral:rRNA from 1 species
GACGAACGCUGGCGGCGUGCUUAACACAUGCAAGUCGAACGGAAAGGCCCUGCUCUUGUGGGGCGCUCGAGUGGCGAACGGGUGAGUAACACGUGUGUAACCUGCCCUUGACUUUGGGAUAACUUCAGGAAACUGGGGCUAAUACCGGAUAGGACCUCCUGCUGCAUGGUGGGGGUUGGUAAGUUUCGGCGGUUGGGGAUGGACGCGCGGCUUAUCAGCUUGUUGGUGGGGUAGUGGCUUACCAAGGCUUUGACGGGUAGCCGGCCUGAGAGGGUGACCGGCCACAGUGGGACUGAGAUGCGGCCCAGACUCCUGCGGGAGGCAGCGGUGGGGAAUAUUGCACAAUGGGCGGAAGCCGGAUGCAGCAACGCCGCGUGCGGGAUGACGGCCUUCGGGUUGUAACCCGUUUUCGCCUGUGACGAAGCGUGAGUGACGGUAAUGGGUAAAGAAGCACCGGCUAACUACGUG